rnacentral:tRNA from 1 species
GGGAAGGUGGCUCAGUGGUAGAGUGCUUGCCUCAGAAGCAUGAAGCCCUGGGGUGGAUUUCUCA